rnacentral:lncRNA from 1 species
CAUAUAUAUACCUAAAUAUGUAUUUAAAGGGCUGUCUAUAACUCAAGGCCAGGACUUAGCAUUUUUAACAUUCCCACUCACUGGUUAUCCUGCAGGAAAACACCUCCCUGGUUAUGUGGUAUUGGGCGUAACGGCUCUAAAAGGUGACAUCCAUUUCAGCCUGAUAUAGUAAGAGGUGCGAAACAAAAAUGGUUGCGCAGUUUGUUAUAGAAAGCCAAUGAUAUCAUACUUUGAGAUUUUGGAACGUUAUAAAAAGGCUUUGGCAUGAGUUGUAACCACUCCUCGGCAUAAUGCUCCGCUGUCCAAAUCCCUUCCUCUCUUGUUACGUUUCGGUUACCCACCAUAGAAACCCCUUUCCUCCUUCUCACGUCACGUGUGGAGGGCGCCAAUUUUCUGAUGGUACGAGUUAAAGGGAGCGCACUAGCACGACAACUAUUAAAAGCUAAACGCGUGGAAAGGGUUGCACGCCGUCUUGGUGCAUUUGGUGUCUUUCUUGUUUCCAUGAGUUUCCUGCAGCCUGUAAUAAUUCUGCGAAAUCGCGGCCUCAGCAGGAGGCGAGCAGGCUGUAGGAAGAUUUCCAGUAGGGCAGCGUCUUGGUCCAUAGUAUUGUGGCCGAAGCCAAAUUUCAUUUUAUUAUCGCAGAACUGACCUCAUGGCAAAAUCGACAACAUUUCAGCUUUCGUUUGUUUAGAUCCAAAUAUGUUUUUCGCGGUAGCAGUUUUCGACUUGUUGCUGGGGAAACCAAAGUAAAACCGCUGAAUAGGAAAUAGAGUGCAAACAAAUCUUUGGUAAUAUUUCUUUCACCGAUAAGACCGUAUAAUAACCUCAUCACUGGGCCGUAAAGAACGGAGCACGGUGCAGUGAUUUGUGCGACCUGUUGAGUGUUGGAAAAACUCCAUGACAACUCACCGAGAAACCCUUCGUGGGGGCGGUCGAGUUUGAUGACCCAUUCCCAACGCUCAACAGUGUGUGCGGUCAAUGGUCGUGUGUGCGGUUUACCAGUGCGCGCGACCACGAGAUGUUACCGUGUUCGACGUGUGCGAUCUGUUCUACUCGCGCUCCUGUAACGAACUGAAGCUGAAGUCAACGCGAGGCGGUGCCAAGUUUUCAGUUUUUCGUGAUCUGUGUGGAUCCAUAUCUACUCUUCGUAAUCAGACCUGUUCGCCGCUUGAACGCUUUUUUAGUCAUAGAUUCAGUCCUUGAAAUUGAGUAUGCAGUAUGAGAAUGCGAUCGCCAAGCUGUGCGAUACGAAUCGCAGUGCUGUGCUCUGUUCACCGUGGUGGGUGUUGCGAAGCAUGCAUGGCAGCUCACCGAGAAGCGCUCUCGCGGGGCCUGUCCGGGGUGGCAGCUCACCGAGAAGCGCUCUCGCGGGGUCUGUCCAGGUUGAAGUUCUCCGGGGGGCUGUCCAGGUUGGAGUUCUCCCGGGGGCUGUCCAGGUUGAAGUUCUCCCGGGGGCUGUCCAGGUUGAAGUUCUCCCGGGGGCUGUCCAGGGUGAAGUUCUCCCGGGGGCUGUCCAGGUUGAAGUUCUCCGGGGGGCUGUCCAGGUUGGAGUUCUCCCGGGGGCUGUCCAGGGUGAAGUUCUCCCGGGAGCUGUCCCGUGUGAUGAGCUGCCCCCCAUCGCUGCGCCAAUGGAUUCGCCUGUCGGUUGCCGACGUGUGCGAUUAUGUGCCAAUACACUGGGUCUAGUGGGA